rnacentral:ncRNA from 1 species
CGUCUCCUCCAUGUCUCCACUGAUAUGGAUUGUGCCCGCCACCUGAGCGGGCUUUCUUUU